GAUGAACGCUGGCGGCGUGCCUAAUACAUGCAAGUCGAGCGAACAGACGAGGAGCUUGCUUCUCUGAUGUUAGCGGCGGACGGGUGAGUAACACGUGGAUAACCUACCUAUAAGACUGGGAUAACUUCGGGAAACCGGAGCUAAUACCGGAUAAUAUUUUGAACCGCAUGGUUCAAUAGUGAAAGACGGUUUUGCUGUCACUUAUAGAUGGAUCCGCGCCGCAUUAGCUAGUUGGUAAGGUAACGGCUUACCAAGGCAACGAUGCGUAGCCGACCUGAGAGGGUGAUCGGCCACACUGGAACUGAGACACGGUCCAGACUCCUACGGGAGGCAGCAGUAGGGAAUCUUCCGCAAUGGGCGAAAGCCUGACGGAGCAACGCCGCGUGAGUGAUGAAGGUCUUCGGAUCGUAAAACUCUGUUAUUAGGGAAGAACAAAUGUGUAAGUAACUAUGCACAUCUUGACGGUACCUAAUCAGAAAGCCACGGCUAACUACGUG
rnacentral:rRNA from 1 species